AUGAUAACUGUUGGCUUGACCUAAUCCAGAAUAUGAGUCUUCACAGGUGAAAUGCUGGCAAAUUAGACGACAGACAAAAGCUCCUCAAGGAGCUCGGCAGUGAGACAGCAGUCAAGGAUUGAUGACAUGUUUAGAACAGUUGACAUUGAUGGUGGCAGCUUCUUGGUUCGUGCUGGAGUUUAUUUGAGUC